CCCCUCUGUUUUUUUGCCUGCUGUGGAUUUGCCACGCUGGGCCUUCAGCACCGGUGGCUUUGCUUUGGAGCAAGGGCGGGGGUUGAAUUCGGGCUGCAAUGUGUGUGUGGGGCUGCGAAGCUGAGCGUUCCCUGCGGCCCAGGGCUGCCAGACAGAGCUGGGAGCGGCGCGGCCCAGUUCAGCGAGGACAGAGACGUUGUGGGCAGGGGAGGUGACCGUUCCUGGUAUGCUGGGAAUGCGAGGGAAGAGCCCUCUGUGACACAACUCCAUCUGCUUUUACUUAUUUCUCCCUUUCAUAUUCCACGGAGUUUUGGUUGCUGCUUGUUGUUCUCGUCGCCUGGGCCUUCCUCUAGGCUUUGUGAGCACCGGAGACGCCCCUCUCUCUGGAGACAUUUCACUCCCUCCAGCUGGGAGCGUGGCAUGCCCCAUCUGCUGCCGCUGCGGAGAGGAACUCACAGCUCCGCCGAGGCCCAGCGUUUCAUCCCAUCUCCAGGAGGGCAACCGGCUCUUCAGGGUGUCUGGGGAGGGGAGGUGGCUCCCAAACCCGCAGAGCACUGCAGUUUGGUCUGUUGUGCCUUCUGCAUGGCUCCCAGCGUAACGUCCCUCCACUUGUGUUUCAGGGUUUUCCCCCUGCUCCAAAAUCUGGUAGCAGAUUUGAUGUCCAUUUUAUUGUACCUUGUGUCGAGGACGGGGUAAGAAGUCCUUGAAGAAGCUGCCAGAGCAGUGGUAUCCACACCAAAUCUUCAUGAGGACUCAGGGCAAAGGGAACUGAGGAAAGCUUUGCAGACAAGAUACACAUUGCCUCACUUCAGAGGAGCAGCACAUGAAGCAGUAAGCACCCCAGGUUUAUGGUACUUAACCAACCUGUCCCACCAAGUGCCACCAAGCAUGCUGGAGCUCAGCCAGAGCCAGCUGUCGGGCUGCUCGCCCCUGUGAGGGGCCUACAGCUGCUGCUUUAAAGUUUGGGCUGUUUCUGGGAGAGGAGGGUAUCACUGGAGCACUUCAGAGGACAUGUCAACCUGCAGGAUGCCUGACUCCUCCUGGUGGGCAAGGUAGCAGAAAGCUGGAUGGGCAACCCAAAGAACAGGCUGGCCUGGUCCUUUUAAGGUACACUGCCUCUCUCCAGAGACUUUCCAAAUGCACGUCUGCCAAGGUCCACAUAUAGACAUCUAUAAAGGAGGGCUUGUUAGCCUUUCCCUGUUCCAAAAAGCUUGCCUCUCCCUUCCCCAUGCGAAGAUGACUAACCUCAUUCCAGUGAGAUCACGGUCAACAUGACCAGAGAAGAUCGAACAUAGCCAGACCUAUUCUGGAAGGUGAGGACAGGGCCUCAGCCGGCAUCCAGGGCCUGUCUGCACGAGGAGGGCUUCCACAUGCUUGUGCAGGCUGGGCCCAAACAGCAUCUAGCUUGUGCCCUGUGCUGUAAACACCAAGCACCACCCAGCCGUGACUCUGCAUUUUCUCCCAUACUGUCAAAGCAAAACGCUCGAGAAAGGCACCAGCUUAGCAUGAAACUGCCUUGAGCUGAGCGUGAUUCCCAGAGCCAGCCAAAAGCCAAGUGUAGCCCGAAUCUGAGUUGUGCCAACCCAGAGAGCAUCGGCCACUAGAUCUGUCCAGACCUCCCUGCUCCUUGCUCGUUCCUCUUGGUUUUGAGGAUGCCAGGAGGUGACAAGGCUGGGACUGUUUCUGGACCCUGUGGGUUUUUCUCCUCUCAUCAUUCCUGAGGUAAACAGCUGUGCUUUGCCAGCUUGAUGAGAAAUGCCUGUAGCUGCAUUUAUGCUGGGGACAACGACUGUGCCUGCUGCAAGCUGUUUUGCUCCCCGGUGGACCCCCGGAGAUGACUCCCGAAACCUCUGCCUGCGACCUCAGCCCUUCGCGCGCUCUCCGCUGCUGCCUGAUGUGCGCGCGCACACAGCGUGUCUCCGCACACACCCCUCUGUUUUUCUUUCCUUUUUGGCUUCCUCUCGCUGUAUUGUUUUAAGUUGGUGGCUGGGCUGGGUGCCAGUUUAAAUUUCAUCUGACUCUCCUCUCCUCCUCCUCCUCUGCCCCCCUGCUCGUCUCCCCCUCCAACCCCAGAAGUGAUACUGUUUACUUUCUCUGCUGCUUUCCCAAUGCCUUUGUAGGCACUGCGAGGGAUAUAAUCACCAGCUGUUUGGAGCUUUCUGAAACUCCAGCUUCUUCCUCGGUGCCCCCGGGCUAGCGACCUCGCCAUUAGAAAUAAAGAAAUGCAGCAAUGCUCA
rnacentral:lncRNA from 1 species